rnacentral:rRNA from 1 species
AGAGUUUUGUCCUGGCUCAGAACGAACGCUGGCGGCAGGCUUAACACAUGCAAGUCGAGCGCCCCGCAAGGGGAGCGGCAGACGGGUGAGUAACGCGUGGGAAUCUACCCUUUUCUACGGAAUAACGCAGGGAAACUUGUGCUAAUACCGUAUGUGUCCUUCGGGAGAAAGAUUUAUCGGGAAAGGAUGAGCCCGCGUUGGAUUAGCUAGUUGGUGGGGUAAAGGCCUACCAAGGCGACGAUCCAUAGCUGGUCUGAGAGGAUGAUCAGCCACAUUGGGACUGAGACACGGCCCAAACUCCUACGGGAGGCAGCAGUGGGGAAUAUUGGACAAUGGGCGCAAGCCUGAUCCAGCCAUGCCGCGUGAGUGAUGAAGGCCCUAGGGUUGUAAAGCUCUUUCACCGGAGAAGAUAAUGACGGUAUCCGGAGAAGAAGCCCCGGCUAACUUCGUGCCAGCAGCCGCGGUAAUACGAAGGGGGCUAGCGUUGUUCGGAAUUACUGGGCGUAAAGCGCACGUAGGCGGAUCGAUCAGUCAGGGGUGAAAUCCCAGGGCUCAACCCUGGAACUGCCUUUGAUACUGUCGAUCUGGAGUAUGGAAGAGGUGAGUGGAAUUCCGAGUGUAGAGGUGAAAUUCGUAGAUAUUCGGAGGAACACCAGUGGCGAAGGCGGCUCANCUGGUUCCAUUG